UACGUAGGUGGCAAGCGUUGUCCGGAUUUAUUGGGUUUAAAGGGUGCGUAGGUGGCGCGGUAAGUCGGGUGUGAAAUCUCGGAGCUUAACUCCGAAAUUGCAUUCGAUACUGCCGUGCUUGAGGACUGGAGAGGAGACUGGAAUUUACGGUGUAGCAGUGAAAUGCGUAGAGAUCGUAAGGAAGACCAGUGGCGAAGGCGGGUCUCUGGACAGUUCCUGACACUGAGGCACGAAGGCCAGGGGAGCAAACGGG
rnacentral:rRNA from 1 species